CAGCAGGCGCUUUGUUCAAUCCGUGAUACUGACUGUGGCCCUGGCCCAGGUGUGGCAGGGACAGUGUAGUAGGGUGGAAAGAUCCAUAGGCUGAAUUCCAGCCUCUUCACCUCUGGUUCUGUAGCCUUGGUCAGGCAGACCUGUUAACUCUGAACAGUAUAUCUACAAGACCAGAAAGCACAGAGCCCAGAUCAGUGAAGAGGAUGGCCUUCCAAGAUGAGCUGACACAGAUCCAUUCUCAAUCCUCUGCCCGGCUCUGAACUCCAGGAGGCUGACCCUGAAAGACAGUCACCUGGGCAUCUCUGCUCUCUGGCUCCCAGCUGGGACCAGCCAAUGAGACACACCAACAGGGAACUGGAGAGUGGGAAGAGAGGGUGGGGGAAGCACAUAAACUUCCCACUUCCUCAUGGCUCUGAUAAGGGCCACACCCCCCUAUGGCCACCAUGUGUGUCUGGGGCCCCGUGCCAGGCCUCCAGCUCUUGCUUGCUCCCUUUUCCCCUUCCGGCCUGCGACGGUAGCCAGUUUCCCCUGCUGCUGGUGCCUGGGGACUUCACUAUUCCUCGCUGGUUCUCCUAACUCUGCCUUCUGUACAUAGUC